GACGGGACCUAUUCCUUCCAACAUCUCUUUCUUGGUGAAUCUAACUGAACUGAGGAUAUCUGAUUUGAAUGGAUCAAGCAUGCCUGUCCCUGCAUUGGGGGAUAUGACCAAAAUGCAGAAAUUGGUACUAAGAAAUUGCUUGAUUUCUGACAUAAUCCCACAAUAUAUUGGGACAAUGACAAAUCUGAAAUCCUUAUAACUUACCUUUAACAAUUUGACAGGAGAAAUUCCAAGCAGCUUUUCAAGACUCUCAGCGCUAGAUUAUAUGUAUCUUACUAGCAACAUGCUGACUGGGGUCAUACCCUCUUGGGUCCGAGGUAGCAACCAUUACUUGCCUUUCAGAUUCCUACUGGGUUAUUAUUUUUUCCACUCCUGAAAAGGCAUAAACAUAGCAUUUCAUGAUGCUGUCUUGCACGGACUUAUCUUACAACAAUUUUACCAGGCCUGAUAUAACC